rnacentral:tRNA from 1 species
GGGCGUGUAGCUCAGUUGGGAGAGCGCCUGCCUUACAAGCAGGUUGUCGGGGGUUCAAGUCCCUCCGCGCCCACCA